rnacentral:miRNA from 1 species
GAAGAGGUAUUGCCGCCCUUUCUAGUCUAAUAGGGACUAGAAAGGGUGGCAAUACCUCUUCC